rnacentral:ncRNA from 1 species
GGUUUACGCUGUCACUUAUAGAUGGGCCCGCGGCGCAUUAGCUAGUUGGUGAGGUAAUGGCUCACCAAGGCGACGAUGCGUAGCCGACCUGAGAGGGUGAUCGGCCACACUGGGACUGAGACACGGCCCAGACUCCUACGGGAG